CUCUAGGUAGCUAAAAUGUUAGUCUUGGUCUCUUAAACCACCCAAUAGUAUAGUAACGCAUACUCCUAGAGA
rnacentral:tRNA from 1 species